rnacentral:lncRNA from 12 species
CAAAAAAGUCCUAAAUGUGGCCUGGGCCAUCUCCAGUCUCCAGCUUGGCAAGUCUGGGCAUAUUGUUCAGGCGUCUCCCCAUGACUACCCAGCCACGGGCCUGCCAUUCUGAUUUCAUAACCACCCAAAAUGUACAACUUCACACCACUCCUAGCCAGUGUGGGUUCAUUAUCUACACUGAGCACUCAGAUCUGUAGUGAAGACCACAGGACUAGAAAUGAGGAAAGCUUUGUUUCAGUUCCAGUUCUGCAAGUACACAUUCGAUUGUGUGAGGUUUUCAUGAGUGCACAGGAUGCCCUGUAUCCUUGGCGAAGGACUGGUAACACAGCCCAGGAGUGGCAGAGCUGGUUGUGCCCAGGUCUGAUUCCAGGCCCUGAGCAUUUAAGCAGAGUGCUGAUCAUUUCCUUUCUAAGUGGACAUUAAAUUACUUCUUUUUUUUUUUUCCUUUUGUUAUUAUAACCAACCCUUCAAGGAAUGUCUUUAUCCAUAGGCCAUCUACUGUAUAAUGUUGUUGCUCUAAAUAACAAAGUCAGACUGGGAAUAUUUUAAUGACAGUUGAUGUGUUGUGCCAAAAUGACUUUUAAAAUAAUUAUGCCCAUUUGUAAUAUAUAAAUGACACAUAAAUAUAUAUCACCUUCUUUGUCCAUCCAUCUAUAAAUUACAUCCUGCUACCAUUAGUUAUGUUAGUUUAAAAUUUCGAAAUGAAAAUGCAGUAUUUUAGCAUUUAUAAUUAGAACAAUUAAACGAUAUGCUGUAUAUUUGUCCACUGGCUAGAGUUCUUUGUUUUUUUGUUUUCUUUUUUUUUCUUUUUUGGCUAGCGUUCUUUGAAUUGUAGCUUUAUGUCCUUUUCCCAUUUAUCCAGGAGACGUUUUAAAAAGUCGAUUAUAAGGACUUUCUCUUAGUAAUAAUGAUAUUAACCUUUUGUUAGAGUUGGUGCAAAUAUCUCUCCUGGUCUGUUUGCAUUUUAAUUGUUUUUCUCAUUUAAUGUAUUUUCAAAAGUUCAUGUAGUCAAAUAUAGCCAUUUCAAACAUUUUUUAUUGAACAUGCUGCUUCUAGACAAGAUUAUCUCUUCCAACUUCUCCAGAUAUUUCGAAAAGAUCUUAUUUUCCUGUAGUCUGUUUGGUUAAGCAAUAUUGUUUGGAAUUUAUAUUGAUUUUUGGUGUGACGUAUAUGCCUGACACGCUCAAGGCUGUUUCAUAACAAACAAAAAAAUCCUUAACCCCAACCUGCACCCACCCAGCUCCCCGCCCAGUGACUACUCUUUCUUCACUUCCUCACCUCCCACUCACACUUCCACCCACUCCAGUUUGGAUUCCAUUUCAAUCACACCAACAACAUCUCUUUCUCUCAGCUCACAGUGACCUAUGCUUUCAUUUCUGUUGGGUAAAUUGCUAGGAGUUGGCAGAUCAUAUGGUAGUUAUAUGUUCAGUCUUAUUAAAAAACUGCUAAGCUCUUAUCCAAAGUAGUUGUACCAUUUUAAAGUCCUACUAACACUGUAAGAAAAUUCCAGUUGCUUCAUUUCUUUGCCAGCAUUUAAUAUUGUCAGUCUUUUAAGUUUUAGUUGAUAAUUGGGUGUUAAGUGGCAUAUCAUGCUGGUUUUAAUUUGCAUUUCGAUAAUGACUACUGAUUUUGAACACCUGCUCACUGGUGAUUUUUGUAUCAUCUUUUGUGAAAUGUCUGUUCAAGCCUUUUGUCCAUUUAAGAAUUGGGUUUGUUGGGGAUCCCUGGGUGGUUCAGCAGUUUAGCACCUGCCUUUGGCCCAGGGUGUGAUCCUGGAGUCCCGGGAUCGAGUCCCACGUCAGGCUCCCUGCAUGGAGCCUGCUUUUCCCUCUGCUCGUGUCUCUGCCUCUCUGUGUCUCUCAGGAAUAAAUAAAUAAAAUCUUAAAAAAAAAAAAAGAAU